GGCGAACGCUGGCGGCGUGCUUAACACAUGCAAGUCGAACGGAAAGGCCCUGCUUUUGUGGGGUGCUCGAGUGGCGAACGGGUGAGUAACACGUGAGUAACCUGCCCUUGACUUUGGGAUAACUUCAGGAAACUGGGGCUAAUACCGGAUAGGAGCCCCUGCUGCAUGGUGGGGGUUGGAAAGUUUCGGCGGUUGGGGAUGGACUCGCGGCUUAUCAGCUUGUUGGUGGGGUAGUGGCUUACCAAGGCUUUGACGGGUAGCCGGCCUGAGAGGGUGACCGGCCACAUUGGGACUGAGAUACGGCCCAGACUCCUACGGGAGGCAGCAGUGGGGAAUAUUGCACAAUGGGCGGAAGCCUGAUGCAGCAACGCCGCGUGCGGGAUGACGGCCUUCGGGUUGUAAACCGCUUUCGCCUGUGACGAAGCGUGAGUGACGGUAAUGGGUAAAGAAGCACCGGCUAACUACGUG
rnacentral:rRNA from 1 species